GAUGAACGCUAGCGGCAGGCUUAACACAUGCAAGUCGAGGGGUAUUGGUUUUCGGACCAAGAGACCGGCGCACGGGUGCGUAACGCGUAUGCAAUCUACCUUUUGCAGAGGGAUAGCCCCAGAGAAAUUUGGAUUAAUACCUCAUAGUAUAGUACUUUGGCAUCAAGGAACUAUUAAAGUCACAACGGCAAAAGAUGAGCAUGCGUCCCAUUAGCUAGUUGGUAAGGUAACGGCUUACCAAGGCUACGAUGGGUAGGGGUCCUGAGAGGGAGAUCCCCCACACUGGUACUGAGACACGGACCAGACUCCUACGGGAGGCAGCAGUGAGGAAUAUUGGACAAUGGGCGCAAGCCUGAUCCAGCCAUGCCGCGUGCAGGAUGACGGUCCUAUGGAUUGUAAACUGCUUUUAUACAGGAAGAAACCCUCCCACGUGUGGGAGCUUGACGGUACUGUAGGAAUAAGGAUCGGCUAACUCCGUGCCAGC
rnacentral:rRNA from 1 species